rnacentral:rRNA from 1 species
AUUGAACGCUGGUGGCAUGCUUAACACAUGCAAGUCGAACGGAAACGAUGUAUAGCUUGCUAUACAGGCGUCGAGUGGCGGACGGGUGAGUAAAGCAUAGGAAUCUGCCUUUUAGUGGGGGAUAACUUAGGGAAACUUAAGCUAAUACCGCAUAAUACCUAAGGGUUAAAGCGUGGGAUCUUCGGACCACGUGCUAGGAGAUGAGCCUAUGUCAGAUUAGCUAGUUGGUGGGGUAAAGGCUUACCAAGGCGACGAUCUGUAGCUGUUCUGAGAGGAAGAUCAGCCACACUGGGACUGAGACACGGCCCAG